CUUCUCUGGAACUGAACUUCCUAGGUCCUUCACUCAUACAUGCCUUGUCCUUAUUCCUAAAAUUGAUAGUCCUCAGCAAUUCACUGAUUUGAGACAUGGGUUUUUUAAAUCAUCCAGAGGUUUGAAGCAGGGGGUCCACUAUCUCCCUCUCUUUUUGUCAUUGGUGCUGAAUUACUAUCCUACAUGAUGGAUCAAUUGAUACAUGAUAACUUCAUCCCUUUCUCUAUGGAUAAUGAAAGCCCCUUAAUCACUCAUCUUACAUAUGCUGAUGACACCAUCCUCUUCUCCUCUGAUGACUUGCUUUCCAUUGCCAUGAUGAUAAACAAGUUGGAGAAAUAUGAACAAAUCUCAGGCCAAAUGGUGAAUAAAAGGAAAUCUGCUUUCAUGGUAUCUUCUAAUACUCCACUCCUUGUAAUUGAGGACAUCAAAGCUAUCACUAGUUUUUCCCAUUCCCACUUCCCUUUUACUUAUUUGGGGUGUCCAAAAAAAAAUGCUAUUUUGAAAAUAUGGUGGCUAAAAUAACAAACAGAACUCAGGGAUGGAAAGGGAAGAUUCUUUCCAUUGGGGUUAGAGCAGUCCUUAUUAGGUCUCUAUUGCAUUCUCUCUCUUUACAUAUCAUAUAUGUUGUGUAUCCACCAAAAAGUACCCUUGAUUAUAUUAAAAAAUCUCUUGCUAGUUUUUUUUUUGGGGAACAUCAGAGUGCAAGAGGAUCUAUCAUUGGUUUUCUGGAAAAAUUUAUGUUAUCCUAAGGUGGAGGGAGGGGUAGGUUUUAGGUCAUCGCAUGAAAUCUACAUUUCGUUUGCUGCUAAAUCAUGGUGGAACUUCAGGACUCAAAAAUCUCUUCUCACCCUCUUCUUGGAAGCUAAAUAUUGCAAAAGAUAUCAUCCAGUUGCUAGAAAAAAAAGCUAUUCUCAGUCACACAUUUGGAGACGGCUAAUGGACAUCAAGGAGGAUUGUGAAGAUCAUAUUUUGUGAAAAGUAGAGAAAGGUAACCUCUCAUUUUGGUGGGAUAACUGAACUAACAAAGGUGCUCUUGCUAAGCUAAUCCAACAUGAAAACAAGUCCAAAAAGACAAAAAUGGCUGAUUUUAUCUCUCACUACCAAUGGAUGCUGGAUAAACUUCAUGAUACCCUCCCCUCUCAUCUGGUAUCUCAUAUUCAGUCCAUUAAGAUUUCACCAGAAGAGAAUGAUCGGCAUAUCUGGCUUGCUAAUCCUUCUGGAUCUUUCACUAGUAAAUCAGCUUGGGAAACAUUUAAAAAAUCAAGAGAUUUAAUGUACAUGGGCCAUCAAGAUGUUAUUGUUGCGCCAUUUGCAACAUUGAAACUACUAAUCAUUUAUUCUAUGAGGGGAAUAUUGCUAUCAAAGUUUGGAAAUACUUUGAAGAUGCGUGUGGUUUGUCUACUUGUUCUACUCGAGGCAUCAGGGAUAAAUUCAUCAAAUGGUGGCUCAUCAAACAGAAAAAAGUACAUGAAAUGAUAUUGCAAUACCUCCCUUCUGUUAUCUGUUGGGAAAUCUGAAAAUAUAGAUGUACUUAUAAAUAUGAAGGUAUUAGAGGCUUUAUUGCCCGAGUCAUUCAUCAGAUUACCACCAUGAUGCAGUUGCUGCUUUCUACUCAAUUUCCCUCUCUAUCUUUGUAUCUCUAUUCCCAAAGAUAUCGCAUAUGGUAGAUAGAAUCAAGCCCCAAUUAAAUAUUAUACCUGUGAGCUGAAAAAAACCUGCAAUAGGGGAUCUCAAAUUAAAUGUCAAUGGGUGUAGCAAAGGGAACCCUGGUAACGCACGAGGUGGAGGGAUCCUGAGGAAUCAUCUUGGUCAUAUGAUUAUGGCAUUCACUGUGUAUCUUGGUUGUUGUUCGAACAACUCUGCUCAAGCUCAAGCAAUCAAAACUGGUUUGAGAUGGUGUUUAGAUCAUGGUUUCAACAUGGUAACAAUAGAGUCAGACUCUUUCCUUAUGAUUCAGAUAAUUAAAGGAAAUAUCACCACUUCUUGGCAUAUCAAGGAUGAAAUAUCAGAGAUUCAAGCUAUGAACCUAGUUGGACAUUUUCAAUUUGUUCACACUUUCAGAGCCCACUUGGCCAGGUGAUAAGAGCAUUAGGAAUGGGGAAGGUAAUUCAAUCUAACGACAUCAAGUUUUCAGAGGGAGAUAUAGUACUUAGCCGUAUUUGCCCUGUUUCAGAAUUUGGUGUUAUGCCCUCAAAUUUGAUUCAGAAGAUUACUGCUGCAAUUGGGAUUGCGUUGCCUGAUUAUCUUAGUUGCUUAGGUGAAGCUGUUGAAAGAAGAAUGUGGCUACGACGAUGCUU